AUGGUUUGGCACCAUUAUACAGUAAGUAGAGAUAGAAACAGUUCGUAUCCCACAAGGUUUGAGCUGUUCACUGUUUUCAUGAAGCCAAAAAAAAUUAACAGCAUGUUGAGAUUUUGCCAAAGAGAGAAACGGGUAUCUUAUACCAGAAAAACAGGUAUCUUAUACAAGAGACACAGGUAUCUUAUACAAGAGACACAGGUAUCUUAUACAAGAGACACAGGUAUCUUAUACAAGAGACACAGGUAUCUUAUACAAGAGACACAGGUAUCUUAUACAAGAGAGCACCAGGUGUCUUAUACAAAGAACACAGGUAUCUUAUACAAGAGACACAGGAUCUUAUACAGAGAACACAGGUACUUAAUACAAGAGACACAGGUAUCUUAUACAAGAGACACAGGUAUCGUAUACAAGAGACAAACAGGUAUCUUAUACAAGAGACACAGGUAUCUUAUACAAGAGACACGGGUAUCUUAUACAAAGACAAACGGGUAUCUUAUCAAAGAGACACAGGUAUCUUAUACAGAGACACAGGUAUCUAUACAAAGAGACACAAGGUAUCUUAUACAAGAGAACACGGGUAUCUUAUACAAGAGACACAGGUAUCUUAUACAAGAGACAGGUAUCUUAAAGAGACACAGGUAUCUUAUACAAGAGACACAGUUAUCGUAUACAAGAGACACGUAUCUUUACAAGAGACACCAGGUAUCUUAUCAAGAGACACAGGUAUCUUAUACAAGAGACACAGGUAUCUUAUACAAGAGACACCGGUAUCUUAUACAAGAGACACAGGUAUCUUAUACUAGAGACACAGGUAUCUUAUACAAGAGACACAGGUAUCUUAUACAAGAUAGGUAUCUUAUACAAGAGACACAGGUAUCUUAUACAAGAUAGGUAUCUUAUACAAGAGACACAGGUAUCUUAUACUAGAGACACAGGUAUCUUAUACAAGAGACACAGGUAUCUUAUACCAGAUAAACGGGUAGCUUAUAUCAGAGUUGUGGCCAUUCCCAUUUCAAUUCAGUCAAUUCUGAAAGUAAACUAAAAUUCUAAUUCCAAAAUGUUCUCAUAGAGAAACAUUGAGCAAAAAUGUUUAACUUCCUAAUCGACUGAAUAGAAAAGGAAUUGACCCCAACCCUGUUUCAUAAGCAGUUUUGUCCUGAACAUCAUAAUAACCCAUGAGACACAUGAUGAGACAAAUAAGAGCUCUUAUGGGAGCAUCAGUUAAAACACUUACUGUAAGCUUUUGCCCUGCAUGAAUAAAAUAUACAGACAACAGUUAAUGUCUCAGUCGAUUUGAAGAGACACAAAAACAAUAUGUACCUAGCUUCACUUAAUGCCCUCAGCAGUAGCAGUGAGCCAAGGAGGAAUUGACUUGAGGGUCUCUCCUUAAGAAGGUAAUAUGAAUGUGUUUCAAAUGUGUACUUUACUGUAUGCACAUCAUAUGAUGUUUCUGUUGUGCUGUUGGAUAAACAAACCAGUUGAAUUAGAUUAGACCUUUAAGCUGCGAUUCCCAGCAUGUCAUGGAGUCACUCAAAAUAAAUUAACUAAGUAAUCAAGAGAUAAAAUAGAUAAAUAGAUAAAAUAUCCCUGUCCCUGGUUUGAUUCACAAGUCAAGUGUGCCUUUUGAAUGAGGGAUGGAGGGGUGUGUGUGUGUAGAAUAUGUGUAGUGGUGUCUUUUUGUCUCUUCUGUGUCUGUGUUUACUUGAUAUAACCAGCAGUGGGCUGACUGCUUCAGUCUCACACUGGGGGGAAAUUGUAUUGUUAACUUGAUCAUCUCUUACCUGGCGAUAAGGUGGUAGUGCAAUCCUAUGUUUUUUGAAGGAGGUAAACCUUAAGCAUAGCUGUAUUCUUUUAUAUGCUUUGAGUCGCUUUGUAGCUUCCUGCUACUUAUCUGCCUCGUGGCAUCAUUGUACUGUCCUCUUUACACAACAAAAUAAAUGUUUGCGAUGUGUAUUUGAGUAUGUCAUACUUUCACAUUGGAUUGGAAAGGUCCAUUGGUACCCACAAAUGAUUAUGUAUGAUUAGCCUAUUUAAA
ensembl:lncRNA